rnacentral:rRNA from 1 species
GAUGAACGCUGGCGGCGUGCCUAAUACAUGCAAGUCGAGCGAACAGACGAGGAGCUUGCUUCUCUGAAGUUAGCGGCGGACGGGUGAGUAACACGUGGAUAACCUAUCUAUAAGACUGGGAUAACUUCGGGAAACCGGAGCUAAUACAGGAUAAUAUAUUGAACCGCAUGGUUCAAUAGUGAAAGCCGGUUUUGCUGUCACUUAUAGAUGGAUCCGCGCCGCAUUAGCUAGUUGGUAAGGUAACGGCUUACCAAGGCGACGAUGCGUAGCCGACCUGAGAGGGUGAUCGGCCACACUGGAACUGAGACACGGUCCAGACUCCUACGGGAGGCAGCAGUAGGGAAUCUUCCGCAAUGGGCGAAAGCCUGACGGAGCAACGCCGCGUGAGUGAUGAAGGUCUUCGGAUCGUAAAGCUCUGUUAUUAGGGAAGAACAAAUGUGUAAGUAACUAUGCACGUCUUGACGGUACCUAAUCAGAAAGCCACGGCUAACUACGUG